ensembl:snRNA U6 U6 spliceosomal RNA
GUGCUCGCUUCGGCAGUACAUACGCUAAAAUUGGAUACAGGGAAGAUUAGAAUGGCCCCUGUGCAAGGGUGACACACAAAUUCAUGAAGCGGUCCAUAUUCAA